CUUUGUAGGAACUCGAUUAGUCAGAUUACUGGGCCAAAGGCGUACCUGCCAGACUCGGAGGACAUGCGG